rnacentral:rRNA from 1 species
AGUGAACGCUGGCGGUAGGCCUAACACAUGCAAGUCGAACGGCAGCACAGUAAGAGCUUGCUCUUACGGGUGGCGAGUGGCGGACGGGUGAGGAAUACAUCGGAAUCUACUUUUUCGUGGGGGAUAACGUAGGGAAACUUACGCUAAUACCGCAUACGACCUACGGGUGAAAGCAGGGGAUCUUCGGACCUUGCGCGAUUGAAUGAGCCGAUGUCGGAUUAGCUAGUUGGCGGGGUAAAGGCCCACCAAGGCGACGAUCCGUAGCUGGUCUGAGAGGAUGGUUCGCCAAACUGGAACUGAGACAAGGUCCAGACUCCCACGGGAGGGCGCAGUGGGGAAUAUUGGACAAUGGGCGCAAGCCUGAUCCAGCCAUACCGCGUGGGUGAAGAAGGCCUUCGGGUUGUAAAGCCCUUUUGUUGGGAAAGAAAAGCAGCAGGUUAAUACCCCGCUGUUCUGACGGUACCCAAAGAAUAAGCACCGGCUAACUUCGUG